GUUGGAUUAUGUGCGCCUCACUGUUGCUGGACCUCUAACAGCCUUAAUACUUUGGGAAUCUCUAAAGCAAACAAAAUGCACAAGUGUCUUUCCAUUGGGGUAUACUGCAAAAACACUGCUCCCAAUCCGCUUAUGGCAAAGAGAACACAUGCUAUCAGCAUCAACCUUCACUAUUGCUCGACGACAAUUAUAAAGCUCUUCUUUGACCUGAUAAAGUACAAAAGAUCAAUAGGGCAAUAAAGCAGGUGUUAUCAAACCUUGCAGAUAUGCCAUUAUAGAGAAGUGUGGACAUGAUUUAUUUAGCAAGCAAACCAAUCCAGCUGAUAAAAGAGUUUCUAAAGGCACGUCUAGAAUAAAGGUUCCACUCACUUUGUCUAGAAGAAAGACUAACCUUCCUAUGCUAGCAAAAGUUAUCUUGAAAGCAAAUAUAAGUAAAACCUAGUCACCAUGUUUAUGAAAAAAUUACCUGCAAAUUCUCAUUGGAUGUCAAGCUCUUGAUAACUGAAUGGUUCCGGCUGCCUUCAGUAGAUUUCCUCAGAAGGGGCUUGAGGAAAGGAAGCAGAUCCUGACAAAAUUGAAUUAAUGGUUUAAGUUUAAUGAAAAUUUUCAAAAGCUGCAAAUAAGUGGUAAGGAAAUUAUAUUGAGUUACCAUUAUUGAUAAGACCACUGUGCACUUCUCCAACGAAUUGUUGGAUGUUAAAUAGCAGUCUCUCAUGACAUCCCAAUAUUUAAUUUCCUCAUAAUUUGCUGAACUCAAGACUACUAUUGUUAACAAACUGCCAGCAGUGAUUCUAAAAUAUUAAAUAUUAAUUAAUUAGUUUUCAGAUUUUCCAAUAUCACAUUAGAGUACACCCUAAUUUAGCUUUACUAAAUCAACCCUUAUAUUAGAUUUCCUAUAUGUGCAAUACGAUGGAAAGUUACAGAUAGCAUUAAUUGAGUAUAUGAUGAGGGCUAAUCAUGUAAGGUGGUCCAGAUUUGUCCUUGCAAAAUCUAUAAGCCCAUUAGUGUAGAAAGAUGAGUUUAUUCAAGUCAACAGUUCCAAAACUUAAAGUGAAAGACCAAACAAGAGUUAAUUGAAAACAUACUAAAGGAAUUUAGAUUACCAAAGGGAUCUUGCUUGUCACAAAGCAAAAUGAAGGAAAAAAAUAUAUAUGUAGCUAAAGCAUAAACCAAAAUAGUUGGUAAAAGAUUCACAUAACAAAAACGUUAUGAAUUGAUGUCACUCAGAAACCUAGUAAAUCAUCAAUAGACUUCACUCUAGUAGCAAUAAUUGCUACUGCAAUAUAAGCAAAAGCAAAGUAGGCAAAUGAAAAUCUUUUUAGUGUUCCAAAAGAAACAAGCAAGAAACUAACAGAAUAUGAUUAUAGCAAACAAAUAAUCCAUCUUUCACCUAGUAGUGUGUCUCAUGUUCGUCUCAUACACGAACUUGACCUAACUUUUCAUUAGAGGACCUCUAGUUAUCUCUGUCACUCAAUUUUUUAACAAACCAGUGAAGAUUAGGAAUCAUUAGCUUGUAUGUAAAUAACUGCAUACACCUGUAAUAAAUAGACUCAUGAAACAGAUCUACAAUAUGCAAUAUGUCAAAUGAACUACCAGUAGAUCAAUUAUUUUACAAACUUGCAAUUACAUAUCUUGAAAGAGUGACUUUAGACCAGCUUAUCAUCCAAGGUGUUCACCAUGCCACAUGUAACUGCAUAACUAAUCAUUUGCUUUGGGAUUAUAAUUCAAGAUUGAUUUUCACAACUUUUCUUCCUCUUGUAUCUUAAUGAGGACCCACAAAAUAAUAUAAUAUGAUUAUUAUAACAAUAAUAUCAGCAUGAAUGGAGGGUACACACAACACAUGUACCUGUUGAUUAUUUAUGAUGGCAUUAUCUACCUACUAGCAACAACAGUUAUAAUUUUGCAGAGCUGAGAAGCUCCGAGCAGGAUCAAAGUUUGAGUUAGGAACAGUUGUACCUGGAGCUUUAUGUCUCUUGGUAAUAUUCUCAAUGCCUGAGCACCAUUUAUCCUGUCCCAUCUCUGGCUUAAAAGAUCAAGUGCUUGACUCAACAUUACUGAAUCACCCUCAUCGGUCAUCUCAUCUGCAUCACCAUCACUUCGUCCACUGUCAGUGCUACUGAGGCUGAUACGCAUAUCGUCUGCCCCUUCAAUUUCAGCAAUCUUCUUAGACUGGCGGCCCCCCUUAACUUUAAUAAAACCAGAUUUUUGGACACCAGUGCUCUGUGCAACUACUGCAAAUGAGUUUUCAGUUCUUUGUUCAAGUUCCUUAAUUGCCCUCCUUGGAUUAAGAUAAAUUUGCAGAAGAGUUAGAUAAAUAUUAGCAUAUGAUCUUGAAGGUUGAUGAAGUGCAGCCUCGUAAACCCGGUCACAGUAGACAAGUGCUAACUCUGGUAAAUGAAGCUGCAUAUGCCCACAGUAACUUAUCUUUUAUUUGGCAACAUAGGAAUCCAAAAGGUAAAGUAACUUGCAGGGUUACUUGUGCAGCCUUCUCUGAAAAUACAGAAACUAGUUUGUUUAAGGAAACAUACCUUGUGAACAUAUAGAGCUAAUGCAAGCUGGUGCUGAUUCAUUCGCCCAAGCAAAAUUGCACGCUCCUCAAACAAACCAUCUAGUGGAAGCCGCUUUAACAAAUCAGCUGCAUUGUAGCCUGAAAUACCAUCCAGAGCAGACAACAAUUUCCUACGAGUUGGUGAAUAAGUUUUCUCAUCCCAUUUUUUUUGUUCCUUGAGAUCUUUGAACCAAUCAAUUACUUCUGAGAGGUAUAGAUGGACCUGACAUGUGUAGUAUUAAGAACAAAUCAAUCAAGAACAAUGUAGGUACUAAACAAUUUUAAUAAAUAUGAAUAAAGUUCAAUACCAGCUCAUUUUGAAGCUUUGGAUUUAUCCCAUUUUCACUCAUAGAAAGCAUAAGUUCUAAAUAUGUUGACUGCAUGUUUGGUGCAUGCUGCUUCAAAUAUGAAUUCACCAGUUCCGCUGGAACAUUUCCAGACAAAAAGAGUUCAAUAGUUUCACUUGGGCAGCUCUCCAGAACAUUCAUUGAAAACUCUAAUACAAGCAUGGGAUCAGUCCUACAAAGAGGCUGCAAAAAAACAAUGCUCAACAAAACUUGUGCUAGAAUUAGGAGUGCACAAGAUAAAAGGAAGGGUACCUUAAUACAUCAAGUCUAGAGCACUUGUAAGAUACCGCCAAUUCUUAAUAAGCAAAUUUCAAACUUGGGAGACAGCAUUACACUAGAGAAGUAUCUUAUACUGCAUAAACUAGCAUUAAUAGACAUUUUGUAUUAUGGUAUAACACUUCCAAUUAUGCUCUUAAGCCACUUUUCAUUGAACAUUCAAAUAAAGAAGACAAAAUACAUUCUUAGAAAAUGUCAAAUGCACAGUACGACCUAGGACUUGGCUAUGCUUUUGCAUUUAACUUGAAACCUAAGAGUAUUAAACUUAGAUCUUAGAAAAGAUCUACACAUCACAAAUUCACUUUUAUAUUUAUUAAUAAGAUAAGCAUGAUGAUAAGUACUGAAAGUAGAGAAUAAAUCACAGCAGAAUAAUGAUCAAGCAACUGCAGAGCUCUUUUUCACUUGUAGAAAGAAACAAGAAGGUAAAAUAGCAAAAGAGAGCCUACAAAACUUACAACAGUCAUGACUUAAUAAUGUCCAAAGCUGGUGGAAUAUCAAUCAGCAAUCCUUUUUUUUUCAAAGACUUUUAUAUCAAUGAUAAAUCGGAAACUAAAAGGAUAGAUGAUAUGCAAUUAAUGCUAAUAGCAAGUAACUCCUUUUCGCCCAGACCGAGUCACUUGCCGGACACUCAAAAGGCAUCAAGAUCAAAUGAAAAAAAUAAUAAGAAGAAGAAUCAAGCAUAAAAAAUGAUCUUAUAUGUUAUAAUUGUUUAUGCUUCUUUUAUUGAGUUGAUGAAGCUCAGAAUGUGAACAAUUUUUUACCUUGAGAGAAAUGCUGUGAAUUAGCAUCUUACCUUAAGAUACUCAAUAAUCAUAUUUGGCCUGAUUUUCUGAGUCAGCUCGGAGUGCGUUUCACCAGAAUUUGAUUCCUGAACUAGUUGAUCAAGAAGUUUGAGUGCAUCACGGUGCAUUCCAUUAUACUUGUAAAGCUCCAACAGUAAUGUGUGCUGAUUUCUUUCCAUCAAAAACUUCUCGCACGUCUUUAAAUCACAAAAAUUGGGACCUUUCAACAACUCUAACACAGAUGAAGAUUGUCCAGUAAGAAUCAGGGCUUGAAGAAGAGCAGUGUCAAGUAUGGUUGCCAUUUCCCUGGCUACCGAGCUGAUAUGGGUAUAACCACCACCUUUCUGAGAUCACAAAAUAUAUCCUUCUCAGAUAUCAGGAAAAAAACAUCUAACUUAGAGUCAAGUUACUGCUUCUAAUAACCAAAAAGCAGUACCAUGUAUUCUCUGGAAAUAUGAAUAUUUAAAAAAAAAUGCAGUAACUUGGGUCAUGAUGAAACUGCUUUAGUGAAUUCAUGGAUAUCUGAAAGCACGCUACUAGUUGUCUUUCCAUUGGGUAAACAAAAAUGUACCUAGAUGUUAAAAUUAUAGUGAUAUGGCAUCUUGAAGUGACAACAGAUCUUGGCCAUUAGUAGCAAUCAUUUACUUGAGAAUAAUCCAACUACAA
rnacentral:lncRNA from 1 species